rnacentral:lncRNA from 1 species
GGGCUGGUUGUAAUGCCACAAGGAGAUCAACUGGAGGUUUCUGCACAUUUAUGGGAUCAAAUUUGAUUUCAUGGUCAGCAAAAAGGCAAGAUUCGGUUUCAAGAUCAUCAACUGAGGCAGAGUACAGAACACUAUCUGAUACUGCAGCUGAGCUUGAAUGGAUAAGUCUGAUGAUGAAGAGUAUCAAUCUACCUCAUCCAGAGCCAGCUGAAGUUUAUUGUGAUAAUCUCUCUGCAGUGCACUUAACAGCAAAUCCGGUUCUGCAUAGAAAAUCGAAACAUUUCGCCACACACUAUCACUUUGCGCGCGAGAAAGUAGCAAAUGGAACUCUGCUUGUCAAACACAUACCGGCAGCUCAGCAAAUUGCAGAUAUCUUCACCAAAUCAUUGUCACAACACAGCUUCUUCUCUUUGCGUUUCAAACUCGGAGUUGACUUUCCACCCACCUCGAGUUUGCGCGGGGAUAUUAAGCCCAGAGAUGAAAUUCAAACGCAGGCCCACUUCAAUGGUUCAAGUCAGCAAAAGCCCAAGACAAGGCAAACAGAAGCAACGGUCAAGAAUAAAGGAAGAGGAGACAAGAGUACGGUUUCACCAGCUCAGCUGCAGCUAAGCAACAGGUUUGGAGUGCUAG